rnacentral:rRNA from 1 species
UACGUAGGGUGCAAGCGUUAAUCGGAAUUACUGGGCGUAAAGCGUGCGCAGGCGGCUUUGCAAGACAGAUGUAAAAUCCCCGGGCUUAACCUGGGAACUGCAUUUGUGACUGCAUGGCUGGAGUGCGGCAGAGGGGGAUGGAAUUCCGCGUGUAGCAGUGAAAUGCGUAGAUAUGCGGAGGAACACCGAUGGCGAAGGCAAUCCCCUGGGCCUGCACUGACGCUCAUGCACGAAAGCGUGGGGAGCAAACAGG